rnacentral:hammerhead_ribozyme from 1 species
AUCCAGCUGAAGUGUCCAAUACAGGACGAAACGCGAGUCUUGGAU